rnacentral:rRNA from 1 species
GGCCUAACACAUGCAAGUCGAGCGCCCCGCAAGGGGAGCGGCAGACGGGAGAGUAACACGUGGGAACGUACCCUUCAGUUCGGAACAACCAAGGGAAACUUUGGCUAAUACCGAAUACGUCCGUAAGGAGAAAGAUUUAUCGCUGAAGGAUCGGCCCGCGUCUGAUUAGCUAGUUGGCGAGGUAAUGGCUCACCAAGGCGACGAUCAGUAGCUGGUCUGAGAGGAUGAUCAGCCUCACUGGGACUGAGACACGGCCCAGACUCCUACGGGAGGCAGCAGUGGGGAAUAUUGGACAAUGGGCGUAAGCCUGAUCCAGCCAUGCCGCGUGGAUGAUGAAGGCCCUAGGGUUGUAAAGUCCUUUCGACGGGGAAGAUAAUGACGGUACCCGUAGAAGAAGCCCCGGCUAACUUCGUGCCAGCAGCCGCGGUAAUACGAAGGGGGCUAGCGUUG